rnacentral:rRNA from 1 species
AACGAACGCUGGCGGCGUGGAUAAGACAUGCAAGUCGAACGGGAUUAUUUUUGUAGCAAUACAGAAAUAAUUCAGUGGCGAACGGGUGCGUAACACGUGGGCAAUCUGCCGAAAAGUGGGGGAUAGCUCGCCGAAAGGCGAAUUAAUACCGCAUGUGGUGAGGGACGACAUCUUCCUGAAUCCAAAGCCGGGGCAACCUGGCGCUUUUUGAGGAGCCCGCGGCCUAUCAGCUUGUUGGCGGGGUAACGGCCCACCAAGGCUAUGACGGGUAGCUGGUCUGAGAGGACGACCAGUCACACUGGAACUGAGACACGGUCCAGACACCUACGGGUGGCAGCAGUCGAGAAUUUUUCUCAAGUGGGGGAAACCCUGAAGGAGCGACGCCGCGUGGAGGAUGAAGG